rnacentral:rRNA from 1 species
UAACUAAGCGGAGGAAAAGAAACUAA